CAGCAGUGGGGAAUAUUGCACAAUGGGGGAAACCCUGAUGCAGCGACGCCGCGUGGAGGAAGAAGGUCUUCGGAUUGUAAACUCCUGUUGUUGAGGAAGAUAAUGACGGUACUCAACAAGGAAGUGACGGCUAACUACGUGCCAGCAGCCGCGGUAAAACGUAGGUCACAAGCGUUGUCCGGAAUUACUGGGUGUAAAGGGAGCGCAGGCGGGAGAACAAGUUGGAAGUGAAAUCCAUGGGCUCAACCCAUGAACUGCUUUCAAAACUGUUUUUCUUGAGUAGUGCAGAGGUAGGCGGAAUUCCCGGUGUAGCGGUGGAAUGCGUAGAUAUCGGGAGGAACACCAGUGGCGAAGGCGGCCUACUGGGCACCAACUGACGCUGAGGCUCGAAAGUGUGGGUAGCAAACAGGAUUAGAUACCCUGGUAGUCCACACCGUAAACGAUGAUUACUAGGUGUUGGAGGAUUGACCCCUUCAGUGCCGCAGUUAACACAAUAAGUAAUCCACCUGGGGAGUACGACCGCAAGGUUGAAACUCAAAGGAAUUGACGGGGGCCCGCACAAGCGGUGGAGCAUGUGGUUUAAUUCGAAGCAACGCGAAGAACCUUACCAAGUCUUGACAUCCCCCUGACCGGACAGUAAUGGGUCCUUUCCUUCGGGACAGGGGAGACAGGUGGUGCAUGGUUGUCGUCAGCUCGUGUCGUGAGAUGUUGGGUUAAGUCCCGCAACGAGCGCAACCCUUAUGGUCAGUUACUACGCAAGAGGACUCUGGCCAGACUGCCGUUGACAAAACGGAGGAAGGUGGGGAUGACGUCAAAUCAUCAUGCCCUUUAUGACUUGGGCUACACACGUACUACAAUGGCGUUAAACAAAGAGAAGCAAGACCGCGAGGUGGAGCAAAACUCAGAAACAACGUCCCAGUUCGGACUGCAGGCUGCAACUCGCCUGCACGAAGUCGGAAUUGCUAGUAAUCGUGGAUCAGCAUGCCACGGUGAAUACGUUCCCGGGCCUUGUACACACCGCCCGUCACACCAUGAGAGCCGGGGGGACCCGAAGUCGGUAGUCUAACCGCAAGGAGGACGCCGCCGAAGGUAAAACUGGUGAUUGGGGUGAAGUCGUAACAAGGUAGCCGUAGGAGAACCUGCGGCUG
rnacentral:rRNA from 1 species